rnacentral:rRNA from 1 species
GACGAACGCUGGCGGCGUGCUUAACACAUGCAAGUCGAACGGUAAGGCCCUUCGGGGUACACGAGUGGCGAACGGGUGAGUAACACGUGGGUGAUCUGCCCUGCACUUCGGGAUAAGCCUGGGAAACUGGGUCUAAUACCGGAUAGGACCACUGCCUGCAUGGGUGGUGGUGGAAAGCUUUUGCGGUGUGGGAUGGGCCCGCGGCCUAUCAGCUUGUUGGUGGGGUGAUAGCCUACCAAGGCGACGACGGGUAGCCGGCCUGAGAGGGUGACCGGCCACACUGGGACUGAGAUACGGCCCAGACUCCUACGGGAGGCAGCAGUGGGGAAUAUUGCACAAUGGGCGCAAGCCUGAUGUAGCGACGCCGCAUGAGGGAUGAUGGCCUUCGGGUUGUAAACCUCUUUCAGCACCGACGAAGCGCAAGUGACGGUAGGUGCAGAAGAAGGACCGGCCAACUACGUGCCAGCAGCCGCAGUAA